rnacentral:rRNA from 1 species
GACGAACGCUGGCGGCGUGCCUAAUACAUGCAAGUCGAGCGAAGUUUUUCUGGUGCUUGCACUAGAAAAACUUAGCGGCGAACGGGUGAGUAACACGUAAAGAACCUGCCUCAUAGACUGGGACAACUAUUGGAAACGAUAGCUAAUACCGGAUAACAGUAUUUCUCGCAUGAGAGAUAUUUAAAAGUUGGUUAUGCUAACACUAUGAGAUGGCUUUGCGAUGCAUUAGCUAGUUGGUGGGGUAAAGGCCCACCAAGGCGACGAUGCAUAGCCGACCUGAGAGGGUGAUCGGCCACACUGGGACUGAGACACGGCCCAGACUCCUACGGGAGGCAGCAGUAGGGAAUCUUCCGCAAUGGGCGAAAGCCUGACGGAGCAACGCCGCGUGAGUGAAGAAGGAUUUCGGUUCGUAAAGCUCUGUUGUUAGGGAAGAAUGGAUAUGUAGUAACUAUACAUGUAAGAGACGGUACCUAACCAGAAAGCCACGGCUAACUACGCG